rnacentral:rRNA from 1 species
UGCAAGUCGAAUGCCGAUUUAUCGGCAUGGCAGACGGCUGAGUAAUACAUGGGAAUCUACCUCAAACUCGAGAAUAGCCCAUCGAAAGGUGGUGUAAUACUCGAUAGUUCCGUUUACGGUAAAGCUCCGGCGGUUUGAGAUGAGCCCAUGUCCUAUCAGGUUGUUGGUGGGGUAAUUGCCUACCAAGCCUAUGACGGGUAGCUGGUUUGAGAGGAUGAUCAGCCAGACUGGGACUGCGAUACGGCCCAGACUCCUACGGGAGGCAGCAACUAGGAAUCAUGCGCAAUGGACGAAAGUCUGACGCUGCGACGUCGCGUGAGGGAUGAAGGUCUUCGGAUCGUAAACCUCUUUUAUCUGGGAACAAGUUCUGAGUGUACCAGAUGAAUAUGUGCCUGCCAACCACGUGCCAGAGGCAUCGGUAAUGCGUGGGGCACGAGCGUUAUCCGGAUUUACUGGGCGUAAAGAGAUGCGUAGGCGCCUUUUUAAGUCACUUGUAAAAUCUCCCCGCUCAACGGGGAAACUGCAAGUGAUACUGAAUUGGUUGAGUCAAGUAGAGGAGAGGGGAAUUCCUGGUGGAGCGGUUAAAUGCGUUGAUAUCAGGAGGAAUACCAAGUGCGAAGGCACCUCUCUGGACUUGUACUGACGCUAAGGCUCGAAAGUGUGGGGAGCAAAACGGAUUAGAUACCCGUGUAGUCCACACUGUAAACGAUCCCUGCUAGAUGUUUGCUCUGUUU